rnacentral:rRNA from 1 species
UACGGAGGGUGCGAGCGUUGUCCGGAAUCAUUGGGCGUAAAGGGCGCGUAGGUGGCCCGGUCAGUUCGUGGUGAAAGCGCGGGGCUCAACCCUGCGUCGGCCAUGAAUACUGCCGCGGCUGGAGCACUGUAGAGGCAGGCGGAAUUCCGGGUGUAGCGGUGGAAUGCGUAGAGAUCCGGAAGAACACCAGUGGCGAAGGCGGGUCUCUGGACAGUUCCUGACGCUGAGGCACGAAGGCCAGGGGAGCAAACGGG